ACUUCACAAUGGAUCAGUAUGAGCCAGCAAUUCUGGCAUAAACUGGGAUCAAGAAACUCAAGCCAAAUGCGGUUCCUUCUAUAUUUGCGCAUCGGCUUCUUCCGAAAGAGCGCAAGCCACCCCUCAAAAAGGGGAAUGAAACGGUUCCUGCUGUAUCCUUGGAUGAGCCAGAAACGUCAGUGGGGAGGGCCCCGGACGCUGAACCAGUGGGCAGUUUAUUUUCUGCCUCCAAGGACAACACAGCAACGUCAAUAGACCGCGACCCUGAACCAGUGAGCAG